rnacentral:rRNA from 1 species
GAUGAACGCUAGCUACAGGCUUAACACAUGCAAGUCGAGGGGCAGCGGGGAUCUAGCUUGCUAGAUUUGCCGGCGACCGGCGCACGGGUGAGUAACACGUAUCCAACCUGGCCCAUACUCGGGUAUAGCCUCUCGAAAGGGAGAUUAAUCCCCGAUGUUGUUGUUUCACCGCAUGGUGUACCAACCAAAGAAUUUCGGUAUGGGAUGGGGAUGCGUUCCAUUAGCUUGUUGGCGGGGUCACGGCCCACCAAGGCGACGGUGGAUAGGGGUUCUGAGAGGAAGGUCCCCCACACUGGAACUGAGACACGGUCCAGACUCCUACGGGAGGCGGCAGUGAGGAAUAUUGGUCAAUGGGCGAGAGCCUGAACCAGCCAAGUAGCGUGAAGGAUGACUGCCCUACGGGUUGUAAACUUCUUUUGUUUGGGAAUAAAGUUCAGCACGUGUGCUGUUUUGUAUGUACCAUUCGAAUAAGCAUCGGCUAAUUCCGUGCCAGCAGCCGCCGUAACAC